UGCUGGAUACUGCCCCUUUCAAAGGAACAGACCUUGUUGCCUUCCAAAGUUUUCAUCAUGAUGAUUGCUGCGUAGUUGGUGAAACUAUAUGAGGAAUACAUAAAUAUGUAAAAGAAGUCGCUUCGCUCACAAAGCUUUAAAAAAUGUUCCAGCCUGAAGAUUGAGUGGCUAUCACCACAACCUUUGGCAAAUUCUCAUUUGAGAGGGUUUGGAGAAUUUUCUUAGUUAUGGCUCAGAACUGUCUUUGGCCUUUUUGCUCUCCAAGUUUGUUGUACAUGAUAUUUCACAAAGUUGCUGACAUGCCCAGAUGAACUGGUUGCAAUAAUGCCACCCUGGAGACCAUGACUGUAUGGCUUGCAAAAAGACAAAUACUUGUUUGAUUAAAACAUAUUACCAUUGACUUGUCUGGUGGCACAAUCAAUACUGCUGCAAAUGAUGGAUGCACAUGAUGGUGUUGUGUACGGUGGUCUUCAAGGUCUCUCACAGU